CACGAUGAGAACCACGCCUCUAAAGCAAGAAGAUGAUUAGACAGUAAUUAAAAAAAAAAGAAAUAAUUAAGAACGAGAAGAUCCUCUGUGUCUCUUUCUAUCAUUGGAGGUUUCUGAUCGUUUUACUGCUUGUUCUCUGAAAGUUUCAGUGAAAUCUGAGGAGGCUCCGAAUGCUUUAGUGACUUACGAGCUCACCAUGGACAUCACCAACCGCAUCUACAACAGCUCUCUACUCAAGUCCAACUCUUCUGAUUAUGCGAUCUUGUACAAACAAGUUACUGACAUGCUCAACUCCAUCUACGGCUGUGCCACGUGUAAAACACACGUGUUUUAUGGCAAUGUGUCAGCGAUGACCUUCAGCAAUCAAACUGGAACCGUGCUCGUAAAGGCUAGUCUCGUGUUCCAGUCAAACAAAACCAACGCUGAUGAGAUCAAAGGGCUGUUUAUGAACGCGACCGCUGCCGAUAAGGAAAUAAACGGCCUUAAAGUCAACCCUAAUUUCACACAAGUUUCAGUGAAAUCUGAGGAGGCUCCGAAUGCUUUAGUGACUUACGAGCUCACCAUGGACAUCACCAACCGCAUCUACAACAGCUCUCUACUCAAGUCCAACUCUUCUGAUUAUGCGAUCUUGUACAAACAAGUUACUGACAUGGUGAGGUUUUCAU
ensembl:lncRNA